UGUCUUAACAUCCUCUGACUUAAAAAAAAAAUAGCCCACUGUAUUAGUAUUUUAAUUGUAGCUAUUUUAAUGUUUUUAUCAAAUUUACAAAUAUGAAAUAAAUUUUUUCAAAUCACUUUUGACAUAAUUUAUUUUUAAACUAAAUUUACAGUAUAUCUAGGAAUUGUUUUACUUUUGCUGUGUCAUUUAAAAAUAUUUUGGGUACAUCCCCCCCCCCCAGACCAGACCACUACAACUGUCGUUUUACUAAUAUAAAUAUUUUAGACUGUGGUAAUAACACAUUAUAAUUGAUUACAUAAUAUAUAUUUUUGAAACCACUGGGAAGUGGGAAUGUUAUUGGCGUUAUUGCCGUUACUGGAAUGAAAACAGAUAAAAUUACUAUUUUUAGAACUUAUUUGGUUGUUUUCGAGAUUCGACUAAAAACACGUUAUCGCCUUAUCGGGUUAUUAUUUUCGGGACCGUGUCACUGUGAACAGUGUGAACGCGUUUCAUUAAAUCUUGAAACCAUGUUGGUAUUUUGUGUUUUUACUUUUUAAUGUAUUAACUUUAUAAUUAUGGAUUUUAUUACCAGAGUGAAACAAAAACUUAACAAUUACACCUUCAGAUCUGAAAUUAAUGUACCUCAUAAUACUAAUAAUGCAAUUUAUGACCAAGAAAUCAGGGAAACUGUACCAACAACUACUUCAAUUAAAGACAAUGUAUAAUUUGACAUCAAAUCAGACAAAACCUGUUGCAAUAAAGAGUUAUAUUGGCUGUAUGGAUAUUGGAAAUUUUGUUGAUAAACUUAAUUUGGAUGCCUACAUAAAAUAUUCAAUUCUUAGAAAUCAUUGGAUUCCUCCUCCCAAUUAUGAGUAUCCAUGAUCUGAACACAUACGAGCAGGUGGAACUAAAAAAAGAAAGCCUUCAAAGAAACAUUUAGACAACUAUACUUGGUUAGUUUUAUCAAAUGUUUGUAAAGGACUUUUUUGUAAAUAUUGCUUUCUAUUUGCAUCAACUAAUGUUAGUAAUGUUGAGCUUAAAACUCUUGUGAAAAAGCCAUUGCUUAAUUUCUGUAAGCUUACUGGAAAAAAUGGAUAUCUUGAAGUUCAUAAUAGAAACAAAUAUCACCGUGAUACACUUCAAUCAGACCAACAGUUUUUGCUUGCUUAUGAAAAUCGAAAUAAUAGUGUCAUAAACCAAGUUAAUUCAUUUCGAUUCAAACAAGUAACAGGAAAUCGUGAACGAUUAAAACCAAUAAUUGAAACUUUGAUUUUAUGUGGAAAACAAAACAUACCUUUGAAAGGACGAUGAUGAUGGAGAACUUCUAAAUUCAAAUCCCCAAAUUUUAAAAAAUGAUGGCAAUUUUCAUGAAAUUUUAACUUUUAAGAUAUAGAGUGCAAUCAGGAGAUAUGAUUUUAAAGAAACAUUUAGAAAGUUCAUCGUCAAGUGCUACAUACAUAAGCAAAGAAACCCAAAAUAAAUUAUUGCAUUGUAUAGGUGAUGAAUUUAAGUCUUUGAUUGUUGAUCAAAUUAAAAAAGUUGGAAUUUAUGCUAUUAUAUUCGAUGAAACAACAGACAUGUCGCAUAUCGAACAACUCAGUUUAUCAUUUCGAUAUGUGUAUGAUGAGCGCUUUAUUCAAUUUGUUGAUGCAUAUAAAUGUAUAAAUGACAAUGAUAUUGUAUCAGGAGAAUUAAAAUUAACUGGUCAUGCAAUUGGUCAUAUUGUAUUCAAUAUAUAUUAGAAAACCUCGAUUAGAUUCAAAACUAUGUGUAGGUGUUGGUACUGAUGGAUGCAGCGUGAUGAC